CAGGGGGACCCACGCGGGUGCUGUCCGCGCCGACGCGGCCUGCGCUCCGGCAGUGCCCCGCCUGUCCUCAUGGCCCUCAGCCGCUCCCGCAAACAGCAGCACCAGCCCAUGACGACCUGUCUCACCGGCCGUCAAAAGGGCCCGCCUCUCGACAAGGACGUCAGCCAGGCUGGCUCUUCUGAAGUCGCUCAGUACCAGAUAAGUGAUGGCCUGCAAAAGACCCAUCCUGGUCAGACUCCAGAGGCGAGGCCCGGCUGGACAGCCCGAAUGCGAUACCCGGAGAAGUGGCUCCAGAAGCCUGCUCGACGGCCUCUGUGACUGUUGGCACAGGAGAGGGAGGCAAAAGCCGGCCUCCAGGCAGAAGCUGUCCCCCAGCUCCCCUCCCGAUCCGGCUGCGUCUGGGAACAUCCACCCUCCGGGGCGUCGGUGCUCACUCUGACUCUGGGCUGUCACUCUGGGUCUACCCAUUGCACAGCGGCUGAGAGAACUUAAUCAUCGGGCAGGUUUGAGGAAAAACAGCUCCUGCACACCCCGCGUGUGAAUGGAUACACCUGGACUCUGCCAUCACUGGUAAUGUAGACUUCUGCUCUGUGGCUUGAAGACUUCUGAAGACGCCCCUACUUAUGAAGCUUUGGAGGGAGCUGUAGUGAUGCUUUUCUUCUGCCCACAGUGAAACUAUGAACCAUAAACCCUACUAUUUCCUGCAACAGGACUGUCCCAGGGACGCAAGCAGAAUCCCAUAACUCACGCCGGCGGAUUCCGCUCAGGGAAACAAAAGAAUUACAUCGCUCAGUUACGUAACAUCACAGUGUCUUCAAAUUUUCUGUCCCGGAAUCUUUUUCAGAAUUAAGAGCAAAAAACCAGAUUCUCCGGGGGAAAGGAGCACACAGCCUGGCUCAUAGAUGCCUAUCACCAAAUGUGUGUGCCUAGCAGUAACCACAAUAAGGAUUAGAGGGUCACCCCUUGGUGCAAAGCCAGGGUCUAGACUCAGCCCGUCUUUGCACUUGAGAGACACAGCACACAAUAUCUAUCACUGCGGGACCAACAAAAAGCAAUGGUUUUAAGGUUUUAAGCCCUUCCCAAACACGGAGCGGAUUCUGUGUCAGCCCUUCAGAGGCAGCAGACGGCUUUUGAACAUUGCAACACUUUCUUCUCUCAAGGGCACUGCAGAUUUUAUCACCCACCCCACACUCAACUAGGUCCUGCUGAGCCGGCAGAAUAUGGAAGGAGGUUUCAAAGCCACACACAGGAUCACGCGCCCCUCCUUUCUCUCCUCGGCUGUCCCGGACGGAUGGAGAGCUCGGGAGAAUGCUGACUUUCGUAUGCUGACAGGCCCGAGGGAAACGCCUCGGUUCUUGGGGACAGUUGGCUCCCAGUGCCUCAGGCAGCUGCCCCCAGAGCGACGGGGCUGGGGGUGUCUUCUGCACUUGAUUUCCAGCCGGGAAGUCUAUGCACAUACAGUCAACUGUUCUCUCCAUCGAUAAAAGAUGGCAAUGACCUGUUUCUCCAGACACACUGUCCCCUGGGAGCAGGCCGCUAAGGAGCAACUGAAGGGCCUCUCCACUCACUUCCUGCUCGGAGGGAAGCUAUUCCUUCGCCUCAUCCUUGUGCCUACCGAGGCCGCACGCGUCCAUUAGUGACUAAUGUGGGAGGAAGGCGGUGCGGGCCUCUCCUGGCCACACGCACACACUCCAUUUACCUCGCCGGCCACUCUGAACUGGAGAACAGCCUCUUAUUUUACACUCGCGUGACUUUCAAUGCCAACUUCCACUAGAAGCUGCCAGUAGCCGCUGACAAAAUUGUCUCACUCAAUUAUGAUGCCACAGACUGACCUUAACCUGAACCAAAUGUCACAUGAGGCUGCACUCCCCUGCUGCACAUUUGAAAUAUUUAUCCAAAGAAGCUUUUCAGUCGUAAAGAAAUGGGUAGAGUUAACACAAAGGUGAAUCUCAGAAGCACCCUGAUUCACUGACUUUAAAAUUGACAGCAGAUCUUGGAAUUCCUUCCUGAGAACACUCAGCAGAGACUUCAGGCAACGCUUUCCAGAAAGAGGCUGGAGUGCCCUCCAUCCAUACUCUAACCCAGCAGUCACCAAAUGCUUCAGAUCACAGAGCUGUCCGGAAGAGAGACAACCCUAUUUCCAGCACAUGCUACCAAGAUUCUGCUAAAAGGUUUAUUAUGAAGUAUACGAUUUACUUUUAAUCCAUAUGCUAAUAAAGGUUAAUUUCUUAGUAAAAAUUGAAAGAAAUAAAAGUUCUAACUUUUCCUUCUCAUCUUCCCGCGG